CAGUCAGUUACGGUGUGAAACUGUGAAUAUACAGGUGUAAAAUAAACUAUUUAGGUGAAACCUGUCGCACUUUGGCUUCACUCCAGAUAACUGUAGACAAUUAUUAAUAAUAAUAUUUGUUAGGACGUCUUCCACUAAGUUAGCGUUAACUUACUAGCUAGGAGUGAUGGAGGGAGGAAAUUGCAUCAACAAGUGUUUGUUACGGUAAUUGUCAUUGCAGCAGCAAGCGCAAUAUGAAGUCAUAAAAUGGAUUUUAUCCACUUUGCCUUUAUGAAGAAGAGAACGGACUUCAUCCUCAAACAACACACAUCUACGUCUUGUUCCCGAGGGUCGUCUGACGACGGUCAACAAUUCACCACACCCACCUCAAGUUCAGCUCUGGAGACUUUCAUUCUGGGUCUGAGGACUUCUGCUCGGGGGUGGCAGCAGGCGUGGCCAGACUCUCCGGCUUCACAAUCUGGUAGGUGAUCAG